UGGCACUCACUGGUGUGAUGAUG
rnacentral:siRNA from 1 species